AGUAACACGUGGGUAACCUGCCCCGAUGAUUGGGACAACCCGAGGAAACUCGGGCUAAUACCGAAUGUGCCCUCCGGCCAUAAGGCCGCUGGGGAAAGGAAGCUUCGGCCUCCGCAUCGGGAUGGGCCCGCGGCCCAUUAGCUUGUUGGUGAGGUAACGGCUCACCAAGGCAACGAUGGGUAGCUGGUCUGAGAGGACGAUCAGCCACACUGGGACUGAGACACGGCCCAG
rnacentral:rRNA from 1 species